GGGCGGCUGGCCUAAUGGUAAGGCGCUAGAUUUCGGCUCUAGAGAUUGCAGGUUCGAUUCCUGCGUCGCUCA
rnacentral:tRNA from 1 species